AUUGAACGCUGGCGGCAUGCCUUACACAUGCAAGUCGAACGGUAACAGGUCUUCGGAUGCUGACGAGUGGCGAACGGGUGAGUAAUACAUCGGAACGUGCCCGAUCGUGGGGGAUAACGAAGCGAAAGCUUUGCUAAUACCGCAUACGAGCUACGGAUGAAAGCAGGGGACCGCAAGGCCUUGCGCGAACGGAGCGGCCGCUGGCAGAUUAGGUAGUUGGUGGGAUAAAAGCUUACCAAGCCGACGAUCUGUAGCUGGUCUGAGAGGACCACCAGCUCCACUGGGACGCAGACACGGCCCAGCCUCCUACGGGGGUCGGCAGUGGGGAAUUUUGGACAAUGGGCGAAAGCCUGAUCCAGCCAUGCCGCGUGCAGGAUGAAGGCCUUCGGGUUGUAAACUGCUUUUGUACGGAACGAAAAGACUCUGGUUAAUACCUGGGGUCCAUGACGGUACCGUAAGAAUAAGCGCCGGCUAACUACGUGCCAGCCGCCGCGGUAA
rnacentral:rRNA from 1 species